rnacentral:SRP_RNA from 1 species
GCUGGGCGUGGUGGCACACACCUGUAAUCCCAGCUACUUUGGAGGCUGAGGCAGGAGAAUCACUUGAACCCAGGAGGCAGAGGUUGCAGUGAGCCAAGAUUGUGCCACUGCACUCCAGCCUGGGUGACAGAGUGAGACUCCGUCUCAA